AAGCAUGGCUUUGCAGCGACCCACAGGGAGAUGACUCCCAAGAUGCUGCAGGGAAAGUCCCCGUGCCUUGGAGCAGAGAGUGCUUGUGGGAGACCAAAAGGCCUUGCUCCGUCCUUGACCAUGCUGCCUCAGCAGAGUCGCAGGGCGAGGCUUGGUCGCUUGCAGCAGUGCAGCUAUGCCAUGGCUGCUGGCCGUCGUGUUGGCAGCAACUGAAUGGGGCUCACUCUC
rnacentral:RNase_MRP_RNA from 1 species